rnacentral:tRNA from 1 species
GCGAAAGUGGCGGAAUUGGUAGACGCCCUGGAUUUAGGUUCCAGUGCCGCAAGGGUGACCUCGUGGGGGUUCGAGUCCCCCCUUUCGCACCA